CCCCCGCUCACCCGAAGUUCUACUUUCGAUCGCUCGAUCUCCUUGUUCUCGAGCCUCCUCUCGUUCUCCCCUCGGAUUGACGAUCUUCCGAGUGACCCCCAAGUCGUCGAACGCCGCUCUCUGUCGUUUGAGGUGGAUUCGUUCGGCCCUCUUCUCGAAUAUAGAGAACCCUAAUCUUGAUAUUUUGGUCUUGGUCUCUUUGUGGAUUUCCCUUGCUUUCGUCGGAGUUCUGCUCAGCUUUCCUUUGCUGAUAGGGGCCAGUUCAUUUGGUCGAGACGAGUUCGAGAUGCACCCUCGAACGGGUACGAGCCCCAAUUUCUACGAGCAGCAGCAGAGCCAGCAAUGGUUGAGGGGAAAUCAGAUGGGAGGCGAUUCUGGUGCUGCUGAAGUAGUGGAAUUUGUUCAAUCUGAGUAGAUCAAUCAGAAGCCACAAUUUGAAAGAGUUCCUUAUGGUGCCUGCCUGGUUGAUGGAUAUUUGCGUGCUCUUUGACUAUCUCAUUAAGCUUAUCGAGCAUGUCAGUUUGGAUUCGGUGUUGGUGAAGUUGUCAGAGGUAUUUAACACGCCAGAAGAAUAAAAAGCAGCGGCCUUUGUCAUGAGAUCUAUUGUUCUUCUUGGUCAUAGAUCGGGUAGGAUACUCUCGGGUUCCUGUCUUUGGGUUUGGCCUUCGAGAAGCCUUUGCAGCAAUCAGUGCGGAAAGGAUGACGGGUUUCCAAAAGAUAGCAGCAAGAAAGUUGAUCCUGGGCAUCUUGGAAUUUCUCCAGAAAGGGUCCAUAGAGACAAAGAAGCAUUUCCCUCAAAGGAUGCUGAAGAAAGAUUGGAUUUUGCAGAUAAUAAGUUUGAUUUUGGGGGAAAUAAUGAGGAAGAGUUGGAGUGUGGACGCCUCCCUGAGGAGACCCUUCUUGGUUUCUCAAUUGGUGGUACAGACACAGCAGAUGAUGAUGAUCAGAGCGAUCGCCGUGGCAACAUUAAUCCUCGACGGAGGUUUAUAGAGGGUAAUAAGGCUGAAGCUGACAGGGUGUUUGAGAUCUUACAACAGGAUGGGCCUGCUUUCAAUGUCCGGUCAGCACUAGAUGAGCUGCAUCUGCAUGUCUCCAAUGCAUUGGUGAGAGAAGUUCUUCUCCGCAUUCUUAUGUCUAUAAAUGGUGCCAACAGGUUGCGGUGUGCCAAAUUGGCCUAUAAGUUCUUUGUGUGGUCGGGUCAACAGAUGGACUACAGGCAUAACACUAACAGCUAUAAUCUUACCCUGAAAGUUUUUGCAGAAGCUAAGGAAUUGAAAGCCAUGUGGAGACUGAUGGAUGAGAUGAUCGAGAAGGCAUUGCCAAUCACUGCACGCACAUUUAUAAUAUUGAUUUGCACUUGUGGAGAGGCUGGCAUGGCCAGGAAGGUGGUCGAGAGGUUUAUAAAAUCCAAAAAUUUUAUCUACCGGCCUUUCAAGCACUCCUUCAAUGCAAUUCUCCAUUCUCUUCUAACUGUGAAUCAGUAUUGGUUGGUAGAGUGGGUUCAUCAAAAGAUGCUGCUCGAGGGGUACUCACCAGAUGUUUUGACCUAUAAUGUCGUCAUGCGUGCUAAAUACAUGCUAGGAAAGUUGGAUCAGUUCCAUAGAUUGCUUGAUGAGAUGGGGAAAAAUGGGUUUGCUCCCGACCUCCACACGUAUAAUCUCAUGCUCCAUGUGCUUGGGAAAAGUAAUAAACCACUUUCUGCACUUAAACUUUUAAACUAUAUGAAUGAUGUAGGCUGCCAUCCUAGUGUUCUUCAUUUUACCACUUUGAUUGAUGGGCUUAGUCGUGCGGAGAAUGUUGAUGCUUGCAAAUACUUUUAUGAUGAGAUGGUUAAGAAAGGGUGUGAACCAGAUGUAGUAUGUUAUACUGUGAUGAUAACUGGCUAUGUAAUUGCAGGAGAGUUUGACAAGGCACAGGAAAUAUUUCAAGAUAUGUUAAUCAGCGGGCAACUUCCAAAUGUUUUUACAUACAAUGCUAUUAUCCGUGGGUUUUGCAUUACUGGGAAGUUUGACGAGGCAUGUUCCAUGUUGAAGGAUAUGGAUACAAGGGGCUGCACUCCAAACUUCUCAGUAUACAGCAGUUUAGUUGCAAGAUUAAGAAAUGCAGGAAAGGUUUCUCAAGCAAAUGAUAUAAUCAACUAUAUGGUAGAGAAAGGUCACUAUCUUCAUUUAGUAUCAAGGUUCAAGGGUUACAGAAGACGUUAGCUGAAAUUGUAUGAAUGGCCAUUUGUGAACUGUGGAUACCAUUCUUUUUAGCUAAAUGGUGUUUGCAGGAGUUGAAGUAACAGAGACUAUUUACCUCAAACAUUUUAUGAGGAUUAGAUCCUCAAGCUUAUCUUGUUUCUCUUUUAUCUUUUGUAUCUUAGGCAGCAAAGAAAGAGAAAACGGUUCCAGUGGUUGUUCUUUUCGGAUCAUAACUUAUCAAGGAAGUACUUUUAGGUUAUUGAAGAUAUACUAGAUGUUCUGAAAUAGUGUCAUUAGAGGAGUACUUUUCCUCAGAAACUUAUAACACAAUUGGGACAAUGGAAGGAAGGAUAUGGCAAUUUGAAAGGAGAAUAACAGAAAAAUCAGAUCGUCCUUGAUGUAAUAAAAGAAAUCUGGAGAUUGUUGGUGUCGUUGACGACAAUGGCAUCCUUUGUUGCGAGCUGGGCGGAAACCACAUCUUUGCUACGUUGCUCUGUUGCAAGCUGGGCGAUGAUCCGGAGAUCGUCGGUGUCUGUCAUUGAUGAGAAAUAGGGAAGCAACGUUUUGCUAGAGUAUCCUACUGCAAGCUGGGCGAUGAUCUGGAGAUCGUCGGUGUCUGUCAUUGAUGAGAAAUAGGGAAGCAACGUUUGCUACAGUACUCUACUGCUAGCUGGGCGAUGAUCUGGAGAUCGUCGGUGUCUGUCAUUGAUGAGAAAUAGGGAAGCAACGUUUUGCUAGAGUAUCCUACUGCAAGCUGGGCGAUGAUCUGGAGAUCGUCGGUGUCUGUCAUGAUGAGAAAUAAGGAAGCAACGGUGCUACAGUACACUACUGCAAGCUGGGCGAUGAUCUGGAGAUCGUCGGUGUCUGUCAUUGAUGAGAAAUAGGGAAGCAACGUUUGCUACAGUACCCUACUGCAAGCUGGGCGGUGCCAUUUCCAGCCUUGUGUCGAUCUGGACGGGAGUUAGCAUGUUGUCGGUGUGGACGGCGAUCACCGUCGGCCGAGACUCCACUCUCGGAAUGGAAUCCACACAUUAGCGAGGUUGCAGAGAGAUCAUUCUGCAAGAACAGAGGUAGAGGAAGACACAGCACUAUCAUCAGUUAUUUCCUCAACGAGGAAGACAGAAUGGGAUAUGAAGAUCUUUAGGAAGUUCAAAUUAAAAUAUACUUAAAUCAUAUAUACAUAUAUAUAUACAUACAUAUGUAUGUAUGUAUGUAUUUGACUUCUUUACAAUGGGUUCGAGUCAAAUAACAUGAUUUGAAGUACUUUUUUUUA